AUGUCGCGCCUCUGGUUCCAGGGCUCCGAGGGCCUCGUCUUCGCGCCCUUCGGCGACGCGUGGCGCCAGCUCCGCAAGAUCUGCACUCAGGAGCUCCUCAGCGCCCGCCGCGUCCACUCCUCCCGCCCCGUCCGCCAGGACGAGCUCGGCCGCCUCCUCCGUGCCGUCGCCUCGUCCUCGCCGUCGCCGUCCGAGGGUCGCCCGGUGAACCUGACAGGGAUUAUCGCGGCCUACAUCGCCGACUCCACCGUGCGUGCCAUCAUCGGCAGCAGGCCGUUCAAGGGCGGCGACGCGUGCCUGAAGCUGUUCGAGGACAUGGUCCGCAUGAGGCCCGGGCUGAGCCUGUCGGACCUGUUUCCAUCAUCGCGCCUCGCGAUGCUCGUCAGCCGCGAGCCCGGCCAGAUCAAGCGCUGCAGCCGCGAGAUGCUGCAGAUCAUGGACGCCGUCAUCCAGGAGCACCGGGAGAGGAAAGCCGCCGGUGAGGGAGAGGCCGAAGACGAAGACCUGGUCGACGUGCUCGUCGGACUCCAGGAAGAAGUGGGCUCCCAGCACCCACUGACCACCGAGAACAUAAAGUUCGUUAUGAUUGACAUGUUCGCCGCGGGCAGCGAGACGGCAACGACGGCGCUGCAGUGGGUAAUGGCGGAGCUCAUGCGGAACCCGAGGGUUCGGCAUAAGGCGCAGGAGGAGGUCCGGCGAGCACUGGCCGGCCACAGCAAGGUGACGGAGGAAAGCCUCGGCAACCUCCAGUACCUGCACAUGGUCGUCAAGGAGUCUCUCCGGCUGCACGUGCCGGGCCCGCUGCUGACGCUCCGCCAGUGCAGGAGCCCGUGCCAGGUGCUCGGGUAUGACGUGCCCGUGGGCGCCACGGUGCUCGUGAACUCGUGGGUGAUCGCCAGGGACCCCGCGCACUGGGACGCGCCGGAGGAGUUUCUUCCGGAGAGGUUUGAUUAG
rnacentral:rRNA from 1 species